UACGGGGGGGGGCAAGCGUUGUUCGGAAUUACUGGGCGUAAAGGGCUCGUAGGUGGCCAACUAAGUCAGACGUGAAAUCCCCAGGCUCAACUUGGGAACUGCGUCUGAUACUGGAUGGCUUGAGUUUGGGAGAGGGAUGCGGAAUUCCAGGUGUAGCGGUGAAAUGCGCAGAUAUCGGGAGGAACACCAGCGGCGAAGGCGGCACUCUGGGCUGGAACUGACGCUGAGGAGCGAAAGCGUGGGUAGCAAACAGG
rnacentral:rRNA from 1 species